rnacentral:rRNA from 1 species
UACAGAGGUCUCAAGCGUUGUUCGGAAUUACUGGGCGUAAAGGGUGCGCAGGCCGCGCGGGCAGUCAAAUGUGUAAUCCAGGGGCUCAACCCCUGAACUGCGCUUGAUACUUCCGCGCUCGAGCUUUGGAGAGGAGUCUGGAAUUCUCGGUGUAGCAGUGAAAUGCGUGGAUAUCGAGAAGAACACUUAGGGCGUAGGCAAGACUCUGGACAAAAUGCUGACGCUCAUGCACGAAGGCUAGGGUAGCGAACGGGG